GAGCAAGUCCUGUACGACCAGCUCCCUCUGAAUUCCCCCAGGUCUUGACCGAAGCAAGGGUAGGAGGUUGUAGCGGUGCGAUGCAGUAAGCUUGCUCUUU
rnacentral:SRP_RNA from 1 species